GAUGACCAGGGCCCGCGGGCCGCGCGCUGCCCAGAGGCAGAGGCCGAGCGGCGUUUCGCCGGCUCCAAGGCAACGGGCCUCCUCUGUCACGACGUCUACGGCGCGCGCCGAGAUCCAAGCUUCCGCGAGGAUGCCUACCACAGCGCAGCUGGCCAAGAAGUGCCAUGUCCACACCCGGGAUCCGAACCAGCAAACCCCGGGCCCUCCGAGCAGAACAUGCGAACUUAACUGCUGCGCCACCGGCCGGCCCUCACCAAAACUUCUGAUGAGCCCUUAGCCCCAGGAAAUAUCUGAAUUGCAGACUGGUGUGAUCCUAAGCAGAAAACCCAGGUCUGCCAAGAGGAAUUGUACUUCAAGGAACUGUGUUUAAUGAAUUGCGGUAAUCUCCCCUUAUCCAUGGUUUUGCUUUCUGCGAUUUCAGUUACCCACUGUCAACUGUGAUUGAAAAUAUUAAAUGGAAAAUUACAGGGGCCGGCCCGGUGGUGUAGUGGUUAAGUUUGUGUACUCUGCUUCAGUGGCCCCAGGGUUUGCAGGUUCAGA